GGAGUUAGCCGGUGCUUCUUCUGUGAGUGAUGUCCUUCCUGCCGGCUAUUAACCCGCAGGCCUUCUUCCUCACUGAAAGUGCUUUACAACCCGAAGGCCUUCUUCACACACGCGGCAUGGCUGGAUCAGGGUUGCCCCCAUUGUCCAAUAUUCCCCACUGCUGCCUCCCGUAGGAGUCUGGGCCGUGUCUCAGUCCCAGUGUGGCUGAUCAUCCUCUCAGACCAGCUACGGAUCGUCGCCUUGGUGAGCCGUUACCUCACCAACCAGCUAAUCCGACAUAGGCUCAUCCGAUAGCGCGAGGCCCGAAGGUCCCCCGCUUUCCCCCGUAGGGCGUAUGCGGUAUUAGCCUGGGUUUCCCCAGGUUAUCCCCCACUACCGGGCAGAUUCCUAUGCAUUACUCACCCGUCCGCCGCUCGCCACCAGGGAGCAAGCUCCCCGUGCUGCCGCUCGACUUGCAUGUGUUAGGCCUGCCGCCAGCGUUCAAUCUGAGCCACGAAUCGAACCCUGA
rnacentral:rRNA from 1 species